AUGACGCCGGCGCGGAGCGAUGACGCCGGCCCGAGGGCGAGAUUUUGUGAGAAGCUGUGUCACUACUCUAACCCACGACUUAGCCACCUCGCUGGUGUGAGCCUUUGUGAAUGUUUGAAAGGCUUGCGUGGAAGCCCCACUAUUCAGCAUUUACAGAUUUGUAGUGACUUAGGAUCCGCCCCGUUCAUCUUGCAUCUCCUGAGCAAGUAUACUUGCUGUGAACAGAAGGUGUGUACAUCAGCUGGCCAAGAGACAGCUGGGGAGACUGGCUCACCUCCCUGGCUGUGGGUGAGUCUGAUCCUCUACAGCCCUCAGCCCCUCCGAUGGCGCACUUCUACUGCACGUGCUCCUGUGAGGCACUGGAGGCCAGGGUUGCUCCUGAAGGGACUUUCACAAGGUGAUGAGCAUGGCAGGUCUCAGACCUCUUCUGUUCUGGGAUUUGUGCUUCCAAAACCCCUUGACUAAGUGUGUUCCAGUCCCACAGAGUGGAUGUCCAUGCCGCGGUUUGGCAGGUGCCCGCCCAUACCCGGGAAGUGGGGGCUUUGUCCCAACACCCAAGCUGGUUCCUGCCUCCCCAGGAAGCUGGGGGUCUGCAGUCAGCAGCUCGCCCUGUUUCCUGUGGGUCUCAGCCUGCUUCUACCUGCCCUGUUGCAGGCAGGCAGAGACAGAGGCUCUUUCUGGGCCUACUCUGGGGCUCGGGGAGGUCCUGCAGAGGGGCUUUUAAAAGGCAGCUUUUAGGGACUGGACGUCUCUGACCUCUGUGGUAGCUGCAGAGCCUUGAAGCUGUUGGAGGGGAGAAUCAGUGUUUUCAGAGCGGCUCCUCUCUCCUGAAAAGCAUGGACCCACUCCCAGCCUCAGGCUGGAGUUUUUGUUUCCGUUGUUGGGAUUGAAAUGCCAUUGCUUUGCGACACUUGCUGCUCUGUCGCUGACUCCACUGUGUCAGCCUCUGCAGGCUGGAGGUACACACAUGGAGCCCCCUUUCCCUCUGUUCCUUUCUCAUUGUCUUUGUCUCUUUCUCUGAUUUGUUUUAUAACUUUACUCUAAUAACUGUUAUACAAUAUUGCGCAGUAAACAUUAUUUUAAAUGUCAUUAACUAUACACACAGCUAGUUAUAAAAUAGUCUCACAUACUUCGUAGCUUUAAGCUACUGCAAGAACUCAUUGUUCGGCACAUACAUGAAUGUGAAGACUGGCCUCAUGCCCUGGCUGGGACGCCCUUCCUUCUCAGGUGGUUUAUACAAUCAAUGCAGACACUUCCAAGGCAUCCACUGUACUUAGUGUGGUUGACACUGACGGACAGUGAAGGUAGAGCCAGUUGCUGCUGCCAUCACGUCAUCAGCAGAGCUCUGGCUGCCUGUAUUCUCGAUGUCUAUUCUUUCACUUACGGUCCUCAAAGUGUUCACCACUUUCAGUUGAAGAAAUACGGCCACAGUCUGCAUGGCAGUUGACAUUUUUGUCAUGCGAGC
rnacentral:lncRNA from 1 species